UAGACUUAAAGCAAAGUUAAAGUUGCCUAUUGAUUAUUGAUUCUAAGGGAAUUUUCUUAAUGUUGACUUCAGGGUAAUUCCACAUAAAUUAUAAAAAUUAGUGUGUGUGUUUGUGUGUGUGUGUGUGUGUGUGUGUGUGUGUGAGAGAUAGAGGUAGGAAGGGGCAGCAGGGAAGAUGAAUCCUUCCAGGGCAUGCCCUAGUGACCCACCUCCUCCAGUCAUGACUCAGGUGUCUAC
rnacentral:sRNA from 1 species